CGACCGGCGCACGGGUGAGUAACACGUAUGCAACCUGCCCUCCGCAGGGGGAUAACCCGGAGAAAUCCGGACUAAUACCGCGUGGUACACCAGUGGGGCAUCCCACUGGUGUUAAAAGGAAGUGAUUCCGGCGGAGGAUGGGCAUGCGGCGCAUUAGCUUGUUGGCGGGGUAACGGCCCACCAAGGCGACGAUGCGUAGGGGUUCUGAGAGGAAGGUCCCCCACACUGGUACUGAGACACGGACCAGACUCCUACGGAAGGCAGCAG
rnacentral:rRNA from 1 species